CCUACGGGUGGCAGCAGUGAGGAAUAUUGAUCAAUGGACGCAAGUCUGAACCAGCCAUUCCUCGUGCAGGAAGACGGCUCUAUGAGUUGUAAACUGCUUUUGUACGAGGGUAAACGCAGAUACGCGUAUCUGUCUGAAAGUCUCGUACGAAUAAGGCUCGGCUCACUCCGUGCCAGCAGCCGCGGUAAUACGGAGGAUUCAAGCGUUAUCCGGAUUUAUUGGGUUUAAAGGGUGCGUAGGCGGUCGUAUAAGUUAGAGGUGAAAUCCCGAGGCUCAACUUCGGAAUUGCCUCGGAUACUGUUCGGCGAGAGAGUAGUUGCGGUAGGCGGAAUGUAUGGUGUAGCGGUGAAAUGCUUAGAGAUCAUACAGAACACCGAUUGCGAAGGCAGCUUACCAAGCUACUUCUGACGUUGAGGCACGAAAGCGUGGGGAGCAAACAGGAUUAGAUACCCCGGUAGUC
rnacentral:rRNA from 1 species